rnacentral:rRNA from 1 species
AUGACAUACAACUCACUUCCUGUGUUCCAGAUAUCAAACUUGGCCUCAAGAGCAUCACACAUAUCCUUACCAACCAUGAUGGUCAUGAAGGGAUUGACAAUCUUGCCGCCAAGAACACUCAGAACGACACAUAUGAAGAUUGAAGAGGGUGUCUGUAGCAUCGAAAGUUUGCCCCUAUUCGAGAGUAAGCGCUUCCUUUGGCUUGCCCUUAUAGGCGUGAAAACAACUCAUGUUGGUAAGCCAGAAAACUGCCCUCGCACACCACCUCAAAUAAUUUACCCCUCAAAUGUAGCACAUUUGAGAGUCGCGACAAAUGCAAUUGAAGAAAAUUGCCCACACAUAUCAGGUUUUUGA